UUGACCUCGGAUCAGGUAGGGAUACCCGCGAACUA
rnacentral:rRNA from 1 species